CGUGAGAUGUUGGGUUAAGUCCCGCAACGAGCGCAACCCCUAUCUUCUGUUACCAGCACGUGAUGGUGGGGACUCAGGAGAGACUGCCGCAGACAAUGCGGAGGAAGGCGGGGAUGACGUCAAGUCAUCAUGCCCCUUAUGGCUUGGGCUACACACGUACUACAAUGGCUCUUAAUAGAGGGAAGCGAAAGGGCGCCUGG
rnacentral:rRNA from 1 species